CAGUAGCCGCGGUAAUACGAAGGGUGCAAGCGUUACUCGGAAUUACUGGGCGUAAAGCGUGCGUAGGUGGUGGUUUAAGUCCGUUGUGAAAGCCCCGGGCUCAACCUGGGAACUGCAUCUUAUACUGCGUAGCUGGAGUGCAGUAGAGGGUAGUGGAAUUUCCGGUGUAGCGGUGAAAUGCGUAGAUAUCGGAAGGAACACCAGUGGCGAAGGCGGCUACCUGGACUGACACUGACACUGAGGCGCGAAAGCGUGGGGAGCAAACAGGAUUAGAUACCCCGGUAGUCCCUGUCUCUUAUAC
rnacentral:rRNA from 1 species